ACACUGAUGGUGAAACGGUAUCGUGCUUGCCUUCCAUGGGUGUGCGUCCAAGAAGCGGCGUGGGUUCGACUCCCACUCAGUGUA